UACGUAGGGUGCAAGCGUUAAUCGGAAUUACUGGGCGUAAAGCGUGCGCAGGCGGUUAUGUAAGACAGUUGUGAAAGCCCCGGGCUCAACCUGGGAAUUGCAUUCGAGACUGUGUAGCUAGGGUGCGGAAGAGGGAAGCGGAAUUUCCGGUGUAGCGGUGAAAUGCGUAGAUAUCGGAAGGAACACCAGUGGCGAAAGCGGCUUCCUGGUCCAGCACCGACGUUCAGGCACGAAAGCGUGGGGAGCAAACAGG
rnacentral:rRNA from 1 species